UACAGAGGUCCCAACCGUUGUUCGGAUUCAUUGGGCGUAAAGGGUGCGUAGGCGGCGGGGCAAGUCAGGUGUGAAAUCUCGGGGCUCAACCCCGAAACUGCACUUGAUACUGCCUUGCUCGAGUACUGGAGAGGAGACUGGAAUUUACGGUGUAGCAGUGAAAUGCGUAGAUAUCGUAAGGAAGACCAGUGGCGAAGGCGGCGACCUGGGUCGAUACUGACGCUGAUGCGCGAAAGCGUGGGGAGCAAACAGG
rnacentral:rRNA from 1 species